rnacentral:lncRNA from 1 species
AACAGCCGUGAAUCCUAAAGCAAAGCGCUCAAAGGAUGAUGUUUCUUCUCAAGCUCCAACUAGAGUGUAUGGAACCUCAAGUUUGACGCGUCAACCUUCACUUGAAGAACAUUCUAUGCCUCAUAUGGAGCCACCACUACACCAUUCUCAAGCACCCGCUCCAUCAUUUGGUAGUAUGUCAAUUGUUCUUGUUUUAACUCAAGUUGUGUCUAUUCAAAAAUUCUGAUUUUAAUAUAUUUUUCACACUUGAACAGUCGUGUAUCCUAAAGCUAAGCGCUCAAAGAAUGAUGUUUCUUCUCAAGCCCCAACUAGAGUGUAUGGAACCCCAAGUUUGACGCGUCAACCUUCACUGGAAGAACAUUUUAUGCCUCAUAUGGAGCCACCACUACGUCAUUUUCAAGCACUCGUUCCAUCGUUUGGUAGUAUGUCACUUGUUCUUAUUCUUCGUGUAUCCUAAAGCUAAGCGCUCAAAGGAUGAUGUUUCUUCUCAAGCCCUAACUAGAGUGUAUGGAACCUCAAGUUUGACGCGUCAACCUUCAAUUGAAGAACAUUCUAUGCCUCAUAUGGAGCCAUCACUACACUGUUUUUAUUUAAGUUGUGUUUAUAUUGUGUUUAUUCUUUCAUAUGUAUAAACAUGCUGAUUUUAAUAUAUUUUUCACACUUGAACAGCCGUGAAUCCUGAAGAAAAGCGCUCAAAGGAUGAUGUUUCUUCUCAAGCUCCAACUAUGACACAUCAAGUUUGACGCCUCAACCUUCACUUGAAGACCACUAUAUGCCUCAUAUGGAGCCACCACUACCCCAUUCUCAAGCACAUGUUCCAUCAUUUGGUAGUAUGUAACUUGUUCUUGUUUUUAUUUAAGUUGUGCUUAUAUUGUGUUUAUUUUUUCAUAAGCAUAAACAUGCUGAUUUUAAUCUAAUUUUC